ACGCUAGCAGCAGGCCUAAUACAUGCAAGUCGAACGAUAUUUUCCAGCUUGCUGGAAGAGAAAGUGGCGCACGGGUGCGUAACGCGUAUGCAACCUACCUUUAUCAGGGGGAUAGCCCGGAGAAAUCCGGAUUAAUACCGCAUAAUAUCAUUUUAUAGCAUUAUAUUAUGAUCAAACAUUUAUGGGAUAAAGAUGGGCAUGCGUGUCAUUAGCUAGUUGGCGGGGUAACGGCCCACCAAGGCGACGAUGACUAGGGGAUCUGAGAGGAUGGCCCCCCACACUGGUACUGAGACACGGACCAGACUCCUACGGGAGGCAGCAGUAAGGAAUAUUGGUCAAUGGAGGCAACUCUGAACCAGCCAUGCCGCGUGCAGGAAGACUGCCCUAUGGGUUGUAAACUGCUUUUAUCCGGGAAUAAACCUACUUACGUGUAAGUAGCUGAAUGUACCGGAAGAAUAAGGAUCGGCUAACUCCGUGCCAGCAGCCGCGGUAAUACGGAGGAUCCAAGCGUUAUCCGGAUUUAUUGGGUUUAAAGGGUGCGUAGGCGGCCUGUUAAGUCAGGGGUGAAAGACAGUAGCUCAACUAUCGCAGUGCCCUUGAUACUGAUGGGCUUGAAUGGACUAGAGGUAGGCGGAAUGAGACAAGUAGCGGUGAAAUGCAUAGAUAUGUCUCAGACACACCGAUUGCGAAGGCAGCUUACUAUGGUCUUAUUGACGCUGAGGCACGAAAGCGUGGGGAUCAAAC
rnacentral:rRNA from 1 species